rnacentral:rRNA from 1 species
UGCAGUCGAGCGGACAGAUGGGAGCUUGCUCCCUGAUGUUAGCGGCGGACGGGUGAGUAACACGUGGGUAACCUGCCUGUAAGACUGGGAUAACUCCGGGAAACCGGGGCUAAUACCGGAUGGUUGUUUGAACCGCAUGGUUCAAACAUAAAAGGUGGCUUCGGCUACCACUUACAGAUGGACCCGCGGCGCAUUAGCUAGUUGGUGAGGUAACGGCUCACCAAGGCGACGAUGCGUAGCCGACCUGAGAGGGUGAUCGGCCACACUGGGACUGAGACACGGCCCAGACUCCUACGGGAGGCAGCAGUAGGGAAUCUUCCGCAAUGGACGAAAGUCUGACGGAGCAACGCCGCGUGAGUGAUGAAGGUUUUCGGAUCGUAAAGCUCUGUUGUUAGGGAAGAACAAGUACCGUUCGAAUAGGGCGGUACCUUGACGGUACCUAACCAGAAAGCCACGGCUAACUACGUGCCAGCAGCCCGCGGUAAA